UGUUUUGUUUUGUUUUGUUUUGUUUUGUUUUGUUUUGUUUUGUGGCGGUGCUCGUCUGUCUCAAGGUAGGGGUUUCUUUGCUUUAUUCACAGGGACAGGACUCGCAGCGGGCGCUGUCCCCAAACAGGGACAGAAACAUCAAGCACUUGAGACCACAGGCCAGCGACUGUCCCGCGCCCUGGGCCCCUGAGGGCUCCGUCCUCCAGCAAAGGCUGGGUUCAGAGAUCCCAGGGGCUCUGCGUGUGUCUUAGCCCUGUCCUCCCUGCCCUAGUGAAUGGCAGGGACACAGCAGGCAGCUAGGAAAGGAAGCAGAGGCCAGAGGAAUCGGUGCAUUUCCACCUUUGCUGGGUGGGGCCUCUGGGAACGUGAACAGAGCAGCUGCAAAGGGUCCCAAGGCUGGAGAAGGUAACGUGUGGGUUCUCAGAUGCUGUCUCCAAGACACGGGUCCGCAGGUCCCAGCAGGUGGCCACAUUGGUCUGCAGAGGAGCUGAGUGCAUUCUAUGAUCGCAGAUCAGACAUCCAGAUGCUCACAGAGCUGGCGGUGGAUUCAGGAGGCAGGAGGCUUUUCCCCCUCAGCACUUUAAUCAAGGAAUGAAACCUAGCAUCACCAAUAGGGAGCACAAAGUCAAGAAGAUGAACAAUACCCGGCCUGGUCUAGUCUGGAGAGGGUUCUAAGUGUCCACAUGCAGCCCUUGGCAAGUCUACAGGACUCACACCUUGCCUGGUAUGCUCCAGGACCUGGGUGCCAUUCUUACUACUAGAAAAAAAUCCAUGCCAUAUAAAAGGAGGGGGGUGAUUACUCUAUAAUAACAGAGACUAAAAUUCAUAAUAACCAAAUGGGAAAUUUAUGAAACUUGAUGGAAUGGUGUUGUGGUUUUUAUCUAGAUGUCCCCCAAAGCCUCAUGCACUCAAAGGUGGGGCUUUGGGGAGGUGAUUGAAUCAUGGGGUUGUGAUACUCAUAGGUGGAUUAGUCCAAUGAUGAGCGUAUAGCUAAACGUGAUGUUUGGAGGUGGAGCCUGGUUGGAGGAGGUGGGUCACUGGGGGGUGUGGCCUGGGCCUAUCGCCCUCCUCCUCCCUUGAUUUCUCUCUGCCUCCUGCCUGCCCUGCCAUGGACUGUUUCUCCUCGCCAGACUCAUGCUGUUCUGCCUUGCCUUGGAGCCAGCAACUAUGGACUGAAUCCUUUAUAAAAUGUGGAUCAAAAUAAACCUUUCCUCCUUUAACUUGUGGAUGUUGGGUAUUUGUUUCAGUAGCAAG
rnacentral:lncRNA from 1 species